UUUACAGCUGACAGGCAUAUCCACUGUAAUAGCUUUUUACAAAGGAUACCAUCAACAGUUCAAAAUAACAUUUCAGCUUACUUGAAGACAGCAGCGUAAACAGGCAGAGUAUUCACAGCAGGGUGAAGAUUUCUCCAGGACAGAGCGAGCUGCUAAAGGUGCAGCCUCUCCCUCACAUUCCCCCUUUACUAACUCAUCUGGCAUGGUUUUUAUACCUUAGCUGGUCCUAAUUAAGGAAAGGGUGUGGAUCCUCCCUGAGCUGCAAGUGAUUAACCCCUUCCUCAGAAUGUGGGAGAGAGCCACUCUGCCACAAUGUGCAUAUUACAUUGUUAAGUACUUUGAUGUGAACAAGAUUAUUGUGAACCAGAUAUUCCAGUAAGCAGUUUGUGUUUAGAAUUCAGUUGCUCACGUCAUGAGAUUGCAGUUGGCUUCAAUAAAUCAGUUCUCUGCAGAGGAUACUGUUUGAAUGUGGACUCAUCUUCCUUACCCCUCUGAAGAGUGGAAAGAACCUAAAUCGGGUGCAAGGAUCCAGUUUACCAGGCAAAGCAGAAUGUAGUUACCACAAGUUACAUCGUCACCAUCUCAUACCAUACCUGGCUGUAACAGCUGGACCUACUGGGAGAUACAAGCCAAUAUCCUAACCUUAUCUGCUGUUACUUCUGUAACCUUGCUAUCCAGUUCCGAUCUCUGCAGUUCUGGACUUUCACAGUAUGCUGUUUCAUGAUAACUGAGGUGAUCGGGGCUCAUCACUUUGGGGACUACCCAAUAGUGCCUGUGGUGGCUGGGACAAGACUGCGGAGAUGCGCCGCCUGGGUGGGGAAGAUGGAUCCGCUGAUUCCAAAUCCACACGGCGCGUCUUACUUGGCCUCCUGGAAUAUGUGACUACAGUGAAUUCUUACCUGCAAUCCCAGUACCCACAUCAGUUGGCAGUGGCCUGUCUGGAGCGCUGGUCUGGCGUACUGUUGAAAAAAUAAAAAUAACAUUAUGACCAUACUUGGAAAACACAUUGUUAACUGCAAAACCUUAGUGUACUGUAACCAUUUUGUA